CAGGGAAAGGUCAGGGCUUGGAAGGCAUCAUGUAAAUGAGAAGGAGGCAUAAGGAACUGUAGAAGAAUGGAGAAAAAGGUCAAUAACCAGCACUAUUUCAUUGCCUGAAGAGUGAAUCAUGUCAGCAAACUGCCGGGAAACACAUCCCAUAGGUUUCCGGAGUGACUGAGCAUCCGGGGAAUCCUCUUUAGGGAAGAGCAUUGAUCCUCCUGAGUUUUGGGCAAGCAGCCCAUGCUGGUCUGAACACCCUCUGUAGCUACAAAGGUAUGUGAGGAUACAGUUUCCAGCUAUGACACUGUUAAAAAGACAUGUAUACACAUCUUGUAGAAAACCAGAAAAGUCUUUGAACUGCAGCUUCCAGGUCCAGGUCCAGUUCCUCAGCACCAUGGUGAAAUGACACCUUGCUCAGGUGAGUA